rnacentral:rRNA from 1 species
CCUACGGGUGGCAGCAGUGGGGAAUAUUGCACAAUGUGGGAAACCCUGAUGCAGCGACGCCGCGGGAAGGAAGAAGUAUUUCGGUAUGUAAACUUCUAUCAGCAGGGAAGAAAAUGAAGGUACCUGACUAAGAAGCCACGGCUAACUACGUGCCAGAAGCCGCGGGAAUACGUAGGGGGCAAGAGUUAACCGGAUGUACUGGGUGUAAAGGGAGCGUAGGCGGGUUAGCAAGUCAGAAGUGAAAGCCCGGGGCUCAACUCCGGGACUGCUUUUGAAACUGUUGAACUAGAUUGCAGGAGAGGUAAGUGGAAUUCCUAGUGUAGCGGUUAAAUGCGUAGAUAUUAGGAGGAACACCAGUGGCGAAGGCGGCUUACUGGACUGUAAAUGACGCUGAGGCUCGAAAGCGUGGGGAGCAAACAGGAUUAGAUACCCUGGUAGUC